rnacentral:rRNA from 1 species
GACGAACGCUGGCGGCGUGCCUAACACAUGCAAGUCGAACGGCAACACAGUACUUGCCUUGUGUUACCGGGGGCGAGUGGUGGGCGACACAUGUGUACAUUAUACUCUACAUUUUGGUAAGCGAUAGCGAAUCGGGAUUUACGCUUAUAUAUCACCUGACCUUCGGUUGAGUGCGUGGGAUCUUCUUCCGUUGCGGGAUUGGGUGGGGCGAUGUCGGCUUAGAUAGUUGGCGGGGUAAAGGCCCACCCAGGCGACGAUGCGUAGCUGGUCUGAGAGGAUGAUCAGCCACACUGGAACUGAGACACGGUCAAGACUCCUACGGGAGGCAGCAGUGGGGAAUAUUGGGCAAUGGGCGCAAGCAUGAUCCAGCCAUACCGCGUGGGUGAAGAAGGCCUUCGGGUUGUAAAGCCCUUUUGUGGGGAAAGAAAAGCAGCAGGUUAAUACCCCGCUGUACUGACGGUACCUACAGAAGAAGCACCGGCUAACUACGUG